AUGAUUCAGAAGUUCAAUCGAGGCAAAACAGGAAAUCAAAAUCAACUGCUUCAAUCUAACAGUUUGGAUAAAGGUCUAAUUGCAGUCGAUUUUAAAUGGCUUCGUUGGGAUUGCAGAUUUCAAUUGAACUACUGUCUAGGUUUAUCUCCGGGUUCUCUAUAAUUCUUUCUUCUUUAUUGAACUUCUAAUCUUUGUAUCUGAACCAUGGCCUCAGUUUCCAUUCCAGGUUAGCUUUAUUGAUCAGUUUAUAGCAAACUAAUGAAUUGAAUAUUAGGUUGUCUUUGAUUGAUGUCAGAUUUGUCAGUGAGUCACUCAUGUGUGGACAAAUAUGAAUUUUUUGCUCUGUGUAUUCCAAAUAUGGACAAAUAUGGACAAAAGGGGGGAUGAAUGAGGAGACUGAUGGAAGAUCUAAGAAGACGUGAUGUUGAUCUAACUUUUCGUUUCCAACUUUUUAAUUAGGGCAAGGUGAAGGUUCUGUCAAGGAGACGAACCUCGUGAAUGAAACAGUCAGGUUUGCCAUGGAGUAUACUGAUGCAAGUCCUAUCGGUAAAAGAGUGUCGUGACAAUUUUUUUCUUUAGAAGUAUUUAUGAUAUGGGUAGCUGCAUAAUCUUAUAAUACCUGGUUGGUGUAAGUUAAACUUCUUGUUUAUUUUUCUCAUUUGUUGUAGAUGAGUAUGGGUGAAAACUCCAACAACGCAGCUGGGCUUCUACCAAAUCCUGUCGCUGAUCCUCAAACUGGAAUGCGGGUAGGAUUAAUAAACUCCAUACUACUCAUUCAUGGGCGUUCCUCGAAGUCAAUGUUAUUCCACAGUAUAAUCAACUGGUAAGGAAUCCAAACCUGAAGUGAUCGUUGGCAUCCGAGAUUCUGGAAGAUAUGCAGCUGAAUUGCCAGUUCAUUCAUAGUGUAUUGAGUACUGAUAUGGAAGCGCUUCAAAAUUUAACUGCUGAAUGUGAUUUGGAUUCAAAACAGGGGUCUGAUUAUGGUGAGAAAGAAGUGGUGGAGGGGAAUGUGUUAAUGUUGGAGUGGUUGGCUGGCUGGUUCUUGUGUGUGUCUGUGUUGGCGGUGGUACUCUUGUACCUGGAGGUUAGCUG